UACGAAGGGGGCUAGCGUUGCUCGGAAUCACUGGGCGUAAAGCGCACGUAGGCGGCUUGUUAAGUCGGGGGUGAAAUCCUGGAGCUCAACUCCAGAACUGCCCUCGAUACUGAUGAGCUCGAGUCCGGGAGAGGUGAGUGGAACUGCGAGUGUAGAGGUGAAAUUCGUAGAUAUUCGCAAGAACACCAGUGGCGAAGGCGGCUCACUGGCCCGUAACUGACGCUGAGGCACGAAAGCGUGGGGAGCAAACAGG
rnacentral:rRNA from 1 species